UGCGGGGUGGAGCAGUUGGUAGCUCGCCGGGCUCAUAACCCGGAGGUCGGUGGUUCAAGUCCGCCCCCCGCGACCA
rnacentral:tRNA from 2 species